CAGAACCGACACACAAACACACUGACAGGAGCUAGCUGCUAACUGCUGACAGACAGACAGGCAGGCAGGCAGACAGGCAGACAGAUAAACAGACAGAGAGAGAUACAGGUGAGAGGGAGCCUGAUGCUGGUAGCACACACAUAGAGUGAGCUGCAGUGAAGCUAGCUGUUUAGCAUACUCAGGAUAGGAGGCUAACCUACUGACACACACACACAUAGAGCAAUGCAGUGUCCAAGGCUUCCUAUUGGACGGUGCAGAUGUAGUCAAACUUCCGAUUGACGGACAGCUGGUUGGGGGGGCAGAGCCUGCAGGUGGCGGUGAUGUCAAAGAGAGGAGCAGGGGGACGAGGGAAGGGGGAGCGACCUGACCCCAUGGCAACUCUUCAAGCAGCCAAUGAGGAGCUGAGAGCCAAACUGAUGGACAUCCAGAUAGAACUACAACAUGAAAAGAACAAGGUCAGCCGUCUGGAGCGAGAUAAGAGUCAGGAGCUGAAGGCGGAGCAUCAUCGGGCGACUGUUGCCGUGACGGAGCUGAAGACCAAACUCCACGAGGAGAAGCAGAAGGAGCUGGCCAUCACCAGGGAGACGUUACUGCGGCAACACGAGAUGGAGCUGAUGAGAGUCAUCAAAAUUAAAGACGGCGAAAUUCAGCGUUUGAACGGCCUCGUGCUGACGCUGAGGGACGGAUCCAUGGACAAGGUGAGGAGCGCGCUGCUGGCGGAGGUGGAUGAAGCGAGGAGGAGCUGGGAGGCGGAGCGUUCUCGCCUCCAGCAGGAGUGUCAAGAGCUGCGAGGAGCAAAGAGGAGCGCAGAGGAGACUUUGACCUCUGCUCAGCAGGCCUGUCAGGCCCGAGCAGCCGAACUGCGAUCAGCUCAUCACCAACACCAGGAGGAGCUGAACCGAACUAAGAGAGACUGCGAGAGGGAGAUCCGCCGACUGAUGGAUGAGAUAAAGCUGAAGGACCGAGCGGUCAGUGUUUUGGAUAAAGCCCUCGGCCUGCAGGCCGGACACGCCCAUCGCCUCCAGCUGCAGACUCAGGCUGCGGAGCAGCAAAUCGCAGCGCUGAGAGACGCACAGAGGGUGGGAAUAAACCACCCGGGCCACGCCCCUAACCCCGCCUCUAACACUGCUCCUUACCUCUCUCAGGAGGACCGGGACACUCGCAGGUUUCAGUUAAAAAUCGCUGAGCUUAGUGCCGUGGUCAGGAAGUUGGAGGAUCGAAACGCUCUGCUGUCUGAAGAACGCAACGAGCUGCUGAAGCGUCUGCGAGAGACGGAGAGUCAGUUUCUUCCUCUUCUGGACAAAAACAAACGUCUGAGCAGGAAGAACGAGGAGCUGGCUCUCACGCUGCGUCGCCUCGACAACAAGCUCCGCUUUGUCACCCAGGAGAACAUGGAGAUGGUAACUAUGAGGAGACCGAGUUCUUUAAACGACCUGGACCGCAGCCACUCCACCAGUUUCCAUGGUUACAGCCAGGAUGAGAGGGAGAUGGAAUUUCUACGGUUACAAGUUCUGGAGCAGCAACACAUCAUCGACGACCUUUCCAAGGCUCUUGAGACAGCUGGUUAUGUAAAGAAUGUUAUAGAGCGAGACAUGUUAAUGAGGUACAGACGACAGGAUUCAGUCAGGAGGAAACGAACCUUCAGAGCCUGCAGGGUCAUAGAGACGUUCUACGGUUAUGAUGAAGAAGCGUCGGUGGACUCUGAUGGAUCAUCUUUGUCCUUUCACACCGACAGAACUCCAGAUACUGAACCAGACGAGGCGUGUGUGCGUGAGGAGGUGGAGUUUCGUUACUGUCAGCUCACUCAGGAGUACCAGGCGCUGCAGCGAGCAUACGCUCUGCUGACGGAGACGAGCGGAGGAAACUACGACGCUGAGAAGGAGAUCAAGAACAGAGAGCAGCUGCUGACUGAAAUCAGUCGAUAUGAAACCAGAGUAGCAGAUCUGGAGUCAGCACUGAACCAACAAGGACUGGGUCGGUGUGAAAGCACAACUCCAAAUCUGGUGGGACCAAACGACCACCCUCUGGUCUGGGAACCUUCAGGUGAACACCAUUCGACCCAAACACAGGAAGCGGUCCAUGAUGUGAAGUGGGUGGAGGAGAAGCAAGCGUUAUAUCAGAGGAAUCAGCAGCUGGUGGAGAAGGUGAAGCAGAUGGAAAGUGAAGAGCUGCAGCUGGAAAACGACAUCCAGGACGUCAAAGAUCAGAAUGAAUUGCUGGAGUUUCGGAUCUUAGAACUUGAGGAGAGGGAGCGACGCUCACCUGGUAUUCACUUCCAACAACUCCAUUUCCCAGAAGGCCUCAGUCCUUUACAGAUCUACUGUGAGGCAGAGGGAGUCGCUGACAUUGUGAUCAGUGAGUUGAUGAAGAAGCUAGACAUUCUGGGAGAUAACGCCGUAAGUACUCUGUCCAAUGAGGAGCAGGUGGUGGUGAUCCAGGCCCGCACGGUGCUCACUCUGUCAGAGAAGUGGCUGGAGUCCAUCGAGGUAACGAAGUCGGCUCUGAAGCAGAAGAUGUUGGACAUUGAGAGUGAGAAGGAUCUGUUCAGUAAACAGAAGAGUUAUCUGGAUGAAGAAUUGGACUACAGGAAGCAGUCAAUGGAUGAGGCUCAUAAGAGGAUCCUGGAGCUGGAGUCCAUGUUGUUUGAGGCUCUGCAGCAGGAGGAUGCGUACAGGAUGGAGGGACUAAAGAUGGAGGAGGGUCGUCUGUCUGAAACACUGACGGAGGAAGAAAGGGACGGCCUCAGAAGAGCAAUGGAUCGAUGGAAACGAACUGUGAUGUGUGAGCUGAGAGAGAGAGACGCCCAGAUCCUCCGAGAGAGGAUGGAACUAUUGCAACUCACACAGCAGAGGAACAAAGAUCUGGAGGAAUUUAUAGAAGCACAAAAACGACAAAUUAAAGAGCUGGAGGAGAAGUUUCUAUUCCUGUUUCUAUUCUUCUCUUUGGCCUUCAUCCUCUGGUCCUAACAUCAGCUGGUACACAGGCUUUACCCCCCCAGGUAUACAGUGUUUACCUCCGAAGAAUACAGGGUUUACCUCCCAGUGUCUGCAGGCCUCCAGAGUCCAGCAGAAUACUCAGCAGGGUCAGCUCAGUCUGGAUCCAAACUACAGGAUGAUCCAGAAGAAGUUCAAACAGCAGCUUACUGACUGAGGCCUGUUGGCUUCACUGCCCCACUGACCUGCAUCUGUGCUGUCAACCAAUCAGAGCAGAGCCCAGCCGUCAGCUGACUCUGGAUCUACACCAUCACGGGGACGCAAACAGGGAAGGUUUUCACAUCAAGAAAUUAACUUUGUGUUGCAGACAAGUGCAAACUGCGAACUAUCCUGUCGGCUACUCUUCACCUGAUAAACACUUUCUGUCCUCAGGAGGUCGGUGGACCUCAGUGGUGCUGGACUUCCUACAUGGUUGAUAGGGUGGGUUAAGGCCUUUUCUCACCAGGGUUGUGACGUAGAAUCCACGCGGAAAUGCAAAAUACUUGCUUGGAAGUAUUUUGCAUCAAAAUACCGGCAGCGUUGCGAAUUUGCAACACUUGUUCAAUAAAAGUUCUGAAU